CCGGCGACCGGCGGACGGGUGCGUAACGCGUAUGUAACCUACCUUUGACAGGGGGAUAACAUCGAGAAAUUGGUACUAAUACCCCAUAACAUCACCGGAGGCAUCUUCGGUGGUUGAAAACUCAGGUGGUCAGAGAUGGACAUGCGUUGUAUUAGCUAGUUGGUGAGUACGGCUCACCAAGGCGACGAUACAUAGGGGGACUGAGAGGUCAACCCCCCACAUUGGUACUGAGACACGGACCAAACUCCUACGGAAGGCAGCAG
rnacentral:rRNA from 1 species